GGGGCAUCAUCAGUUGUCCGUUUGUUCGUUGAAAAGUAGCUUUCCUCCGAACACCAGAGCCACAUUACGAUGUGCACACAAGCGCAAUUUAAAUAGUGGCGGAAAUCUAUCUUCCGUGUGUACAUUGGCAAGUUGAUAAACCGCGGAGACCAGAGAUAUACGGCACUGUUUGGUACCGGGUGUACCCCAACACAAAGAGACCCAAGCCAGUCAACCCCCCGCAGCCGGUUUUUCUUUGCCGGUCUAGUGUAUUCUGUUCGUGUCUUCUUGGAGCUCGGUUUGAGGAGCAUUGGGGAGAGUGUGUGUAGUGCGCGAAAGAUUGCCCACGACGGAGACGGAGACGGAGCGCGGUCGUCUAUAAAUGCCAGCCAGCCUGCCAGCCACAGUUUGUACGAUUCGUCUCAAGUUCAAGGUCUUUUAGAUAACGCUAUCUCUUUUAUGUGAACGAAUUCGCUCCUAUAAACUUGUCCCGUUUUUUGUGUGUACGAUGCCUUUUCCGCUUCUCUUCUUAUUGUUCUGCUUGUUGUGUGUGUUUUGUUUGGCAUUUUUGCAUUUCAGGCUUUAAUUUCGUUCUCCUUGGACUUCUUCUUGGUGUCCCAGUCUGGCUGUAUCUCUACUCCUAUUGCCUCACCUUCCCAUGUUCCUACGUUACAUUCCUUCGCCUGGAACCUGCUUUUCCGGCGAUGUAUCUUUACGCCGUCGAUAACAUCAGAAUGAGCAACAUCAGAAGCUUGUUUUUCCUCACUUUCUUCACUUUCGCAUCAGUCCCGCUCUCCAUAUUGCCUCCUACAUACAGCCGAUGACCAUUUUGGGACAUUUUGUAAUAAUUUAUUACGCAAGUGGCUAUGUGUGUAUGUCUUCCUCUCCAAAACUGGACGCAGAAGCUUAGACACAUCGGGAACAGUCGUGGGAAGAAGGAGGUAAGCAAUCCACAUCUUUGAAUUGGCUCAACGACUGCGACUGGAAUCCUCCAUGUUAUGAGGCUGCGGCGGCCGGGGCGGCUAGACGUAAUGAGGAAUGUAAGAAAAGCCGGAAAUGAAUUGGCUAAACAAAAAUGUCUGAGUUGCGUCGUCGUUGUUAUUUUUGGGCCGGUCGUCUCUCGUUAAUUGAAAGGGAAGUUUAUGGCAGACUUUGUUCGCGUCAGUUCGUCAUCGAUGUGACCGCUGGCAAUGAGACGGGAAAUGGGGGUUGACUGGAGGUCGCGCGGAUGCAAUUUCCUAAUUCUGAUUUAUGGCGAGGAUUUCAAUGGAUAUGGUGCCAAAUGCUCUGAAAGGAUGGUUCUGAUG